rnacentral:rRNA from 1 species
UACGUAGGCAGCGAGCGUUGUUCGGAGUUACUGGGCGUAAAGGGUGUGUAGGCGGUUCUUUAAGUUUGGUGUGAAAUCUCCCGGCUCAACCGGGAGGGUGCGCCGAAUACUGAGGGACUAGAGUGCGGGAGAGGAAAGUGGAAUUCCUGGUGUAGCGGUGAAAUGCGUAGAUAUCAGGAGGAACACCGGUGGUGUAGACGGCUUUCUGGACCGCAACUGACGCUGGAGACACGAAAGCGUGGGUAGCAAACAGG